GUAGGUGGCAAGCGUCGUCCGGAAUUAUUGGGCGUAAAGCGCGCGCAGGCGGUUCUUUAAGUCUGAUGUGAAAGCCCACGGCUCAACCGUGGAGGGUCAUUGGAAACUGGAGAACUUGAGUACAGAAGAGGAAAGCGGAAUUCCACGUGUAGCGGUGAAAUGCGUAGAGAUGUGGAGGAACACCAGUGGCGAAGGCGGCUUUCUGGUCUGUAACUGACGCUGAUGCGCGAAAGCGUGGGGAGCAAACAGGAUUAGAUACCCUGGUAGUCCACGCCGUAAACGAUGAGUGCUAAGUGUUAGGGGGUUUCCGCCCCCCUUAGUGCUGCAGCUAACGCAUUAAGCACUCCGCCUGGGAGUACGGCCGCAAGGCUG
rnacentral:rRNA from 1 species